rnacentral:rRNA from 1 species
GAUGAACGCUGGCGGCGUGCCUAAUACAUGCAAGUCGAGCGAACGGACGAGAAGCUUGCUUCUCUGAUGUUAGCGGCGGACGGGUGAGUAACACGUGGAUAACCUACCUAUAAGACUGGGAUAACUUCGGGAAACCGGAGCUAAUACCGGAUAAUAUUUUGAACCGCAUGGUUCAAAAGUGAAAGACGGUCUUGCUGUCACUUAUAGAUGGAUCCGCGCUGCAUUAGCUAGUUGGUAAGGUAACGGCUUACCAAGGCAACGAUGCAUAGCCGACCUGAGAGGGGGAUCGGCCACCCUGGAACUGAAACACGGUCCCAACUCCUACGGGAGGCCACAGUAGGGAAUCUUCCGCAAUGGGCGAAAGCCUGACGGAGCAACGCCGCGUGAGUGAUGAAGGUCUUCGGAUCGUAAAACUCUGUUAUUAGGGAAGAACAUAUGUGUAAGUAACUGUGCACAUCUUGACGGUACCUAAUCAGAAAGCCACGGCUAACUACGUG